GCGCUCACUUUGGCAGCACAUAUCCUAAAAUUGGAAUGGCCCCUGCACCAGGAUGCCAUGCAAAUUUGUGAAGCGUCCCAUAUUCAA
ensembl:snRNA U6 U6 spliceosomal RNA